rnacentral:rRNA from 1 species
AUGCAAGUCGAGCGAACGGACGAGAAGCUUGCUUCUCUGAUGUUAGCGGCGGACGGGUGAGUAACACGUGGAUAACCUACCUAUAAGACUGGGAUAACUUCGGGAAACCGGAGCUAAUACCGGAUAAUAUUUUGAACCGCAUGGUUCAAAAGUGAAAGACGGUCUUGCUGUCACUUAUAGAUGGAUCCGCGCUGCAUUAGCUAGUUGGUAAGGUAACGGCUUACCAAGGCAACGAUGCAUAGCCGACCUGAGAGGGUGAUCGGCCACACUGGAACUGAGACACGGUCCAGACUCCUACGGGAGGCAGCAGUAGGGAAUCUUCCGCAAUGGGCGAAAGCCUGACGGAGCAACGCCGCGUGAGUGAUGAAGGUCUUCGGAUCGUAAAACUCUGUUAUUAGGGAAGAACAUAUGUGUAAGUAACUGUGCACAUCUUGACGGUACCUAAUCAGAAAGCCACGGCUAACUACGUGCCAGCAGCCGCGGUAAUACGUAGGUGGCAAGCGUUAUCCGGAAUUAUUGGGCGUAAAGCGCGCGUAGGCGGUUUUUUAAGUCUGAUGUGAAAGCCCACGGCUCAACCGUGGAGGGUCAUUGGAAACUGGAAAACUUGAGUGCAGAAGAGGAAAGUGGAAUUCCAUGUGUAGCGGUGAAAUGCGCAGAGAUAUGGAGGAACACCAGUGGCGAAGGCGACUUUCUGGUCUGUAACUGACGCUGAUGUGCGAAAGCGUGGGGAUCAAACAGGAUUAGAUACCCUGGUAGUCCACGCCGUAAACGAUGAGUGCUAAGUGUUAGGGGGUUUCCGCCCCUUAGUGCUGCAGCUAACGCAUUAAGCACUCCGCCUGGGGAGUACGACCGCAAGGUUGAAACUCAAAGGAAUUGACGGGGACCCGCACAAGCGGUGGAGCAUGUGGUUUAAUUCGAAGCAACGCGAAGAACCUUACCAAAUCUUGACAUCCUUUGACAACUCUAGAGAUAGAGCUUUCCCCUUCGGGGGACAAAGUGACAGGUGGUGCAUGGUUGUCGUCAGCUCGUGUCGUGAGAUGUUGGGUUAAGUCCCGCAACGAGCGCAACCCUUAAGCUUAGUUGCCAUCAUUAAGUUGGGCACUCUAAGUUGACUGCCGGUGACAAACCGGAGGAAGGUGGGGAUGACGUCAAAUCAUCAUGCCCCUUAUGAUUUGGGCUACACACGUGCUACAAUGGACAAUACAAAGGGCAGCGAAACCGCGAGGUCAAGCAAAUCCCAUAAAGUUGUUCUCAGUUCGGAUUGUAGUCUGCAACUCGACUACAUGAAGCUGGAAUCGCUAGUAAUCGUAGAUCAGCAUGCUACGGUGAAUACGUUCCCGGGUCUUGUACACACCGCCCGUCACACCACGAGAGUUUGUAACACCCGAAGCCGGUGGAGUAA